GGUAGAGGCUGUCUUGUGGAAACGGCCACCGCAGGGUUGGCGGACUUGGGAAGGAGCAAAGAUGGCGGAGUGAGGCGUUCCGUGGCAUACCGGCCUUUGGGCCGGGGGUGGGUCGGCCCUGGGCGGUCAAGUGCUUCUGCUGGCUCGUGCGAGGAAGAACAUUUUCCUUGACUUUUAGGUACUUUUAUAUUCAUCUCGAGAAGAAAACAAAACUCCGAACUCAGGUUUUGGCAAGUAUUUCUGUGUCAUCUCCUAGAGUGAGUAAUCCUGCUUUGUUUAUCCGGCCACUUUCUCUAAUCUUGAAAUAUGGAUAUCUCUUCUCUACACUUUACCUCCAUGAUUUGGAUUGGAAAAGGCUGCUUGUCUAUUUUUUUCCACCUCUCAAAUUCAACUCAGAGAAGUUCCUAGGGUGCAGUCAUCCUGCAGACUUCUCCAGGAAGAAAGAAACAACUGACAUGUGUCUUCUGAUGCUAUCUGCUUAAUUGUAAAGAAAUUAUCUUGCAAGCCGAAGGCUGAUGUUAAAUUUGAAACAGGUGCUUAGAUGGUGAUAUUUGUGAAUUCUUUACCUUUUGUUCCCAACAAGAAGACUUAUAUAUAAAUAGCAAGUAUGGAUGACAUUAGGUUUUUUUUUUUAAUGUCUUCCAGUUUCAGCCACUAUCAUGAUAAGCACAGUUAAGACUGCAGUAGCAAAUUCCAAAUAUGUGUUGAAAUUUGAAAUGAGAGAUGAUAAAAAUUACAUAUGUGUCUAUUAAUAAAUCCUGGCUCAUCCUGUGACAUUAACUGGAUAAGAACAAAGAUCUAAUUUUGCAGUAAAACUUCUGAUGUGAUAAAGAAGCAUAAAGACAAACUAUCUGAAGGUUAAUUUCAUAUGUGAAUAAACCAUCACAAUCUCUGUAUAAAUACGUAUUUUUACAUGUGUAAAUCCACAUUUUUGAAUGAGAAGAGGGAUUUUUCUCCUAGAAAAAGAAGCUGUUGUUCUUCCUCGAAAGUCUUUGGACAUUUGGUAUUUUUAAAUGUUUUUUUCGUUCUUCUAAGGACCACAUUGUGCAGAUACUAACCCUAUGAAUGCAUGCUUGGGUUUAAUGAAAGGUUGGUAAAAGGAAACAAAAGUUUUGAGUCCAAUGAUGGAACCCUAUUCACCUCCGUAGGAUGAGAGGCUGCUGUAUUACCAAUUACUUCAUUCUUUUUUGUGGAGUCCUAUAUAGCUCUUGAGACUUGGUUUUCCGUGCUGCUAGGCUGGCAAAAAGGUGGCACGUAUGGUUUUUCUGCUCAGAAAAUGGUACGACCCUACAGUAUAACCUGCCUUCAACUUUGGACAUGGAGGAAUGUAGGGGGGAAAUGAGAAGUUUCCAUAUAACUUCCUUCUUCUAAGAAAAGACGUGAAAAUGCCUUAUGCAGCUCCACCUGACUUUAUGGCAUUUUACAUUCUAUAGCUGUUUUUUUGUAAAAUCAUAAAUAACUUUUUUCCUUUGACUCAAGAUUGGUACUUGGAUGUUUGAUUUAUUUUUCUAGAUAGCUGUAAUGUUAGGCUGAAUAGGCUUGGGACUCAGGUAACUUUCUCCAAUUGGAACGUUCUCAUCAGCAAACGGGCCUUAGAAGCAGUGUUCCCAAACUUGUGGUUGGAUCAGUGUUGAUUUAGAAGAAAUUCAGGGUCUGAAAAAAACCUCAAACAAGAAAAAUCGUUCCAAUAAGAAAUAGGCUCUUCCUUCUCUUCCCUUAAAACUUAUACUAUAUGAUGAACAGACUAUAGUUCUAAAGCUGUUCUUAAAAAUCAACAGAGGACCAUUGUAUGAAUUGUCAGGUCUUUACAUGAGAGUGAAACCUUCAUGAGUCUUUGAGUAGAGAAAGGAUUUAAAGCUUCUUAGAUGAAAUUAAGAACAAAUCAUCCUAGAUUAUAUCUGUGAUUUAGGGACUGUUUUCCCAGGGCCAUACAUGCUAUAAUGCUGAAAACUUCAGAUUUACCAAAAUUUGAGAGUAAUAGAAAUCGCCAAAAAGUGGAAAUGUUGAGCCCUCUUGAUUAGUUUCAUUGGUCAACCAAUUUUAAUUGGCAUAGGAAGCUUUUUAGUAAAAUAAUUACAUCAUAUAGGUAAAUAAAUAAUUUCCUUUGAAGGCUAUUACUAAGUGGUAAAGCAUAGAAGUAACUUUGGAUAAAGGUAACUUAAGUUUUUCUCUAAAUUCCCAGCCAUCUUCUAGUAUUUUAAUAUUUUGGAAUUGUUAAAGACAGAAUGGAACUUUUAAACAUGGGUCUGUCCCAUUGGUACGUUGAAAAUACAAUAUUAUGGAGAA